GAUAAGAACGCAGCGAAAUGCGAUAAGUAAUGUGAAUUGCAGAAUUCAGUGAAUCAUCGAAUCUUUGAACGCACAUUGCGCCCGCCAGUAUUCUGGCGGGCAUGCCUGUCUGAGCGUCAUUUCAACCCUCAUGCCCCUAGGGCGUGGUGUUGGGGAUCGGCCAAAGCCCGCGAGGGACGGCCGGCCCCUAAAUCUAGUGGCGGACCCGUCGUGGCCUCCUCUGCGAAGUAGUGAUAUUCCGCAUCGGAGAGCGACGAGCCCCUGCCGUUAAACCCCCAACUUUCCAAGGUUGACCUCAGAUCAGGUAGGAAUACCCGCUGAACUUAAGCAUAUCAAUAAGCGGAGGA
rnacentral:misc_RNA from 1 species